rnacentral:lncRNA from 1 species
UUGAUAUUACUGGUCAUGAGAGGAAUGUGAGAGAACCAUCAUCACUAACUCAAACUCAUGGCGACAAUCGGCUUUUAACACUAGGAAAGGAGGGCAAUUAACUCCUGUGGUGAUCCCUUUUGUUUUCAAUGCUCUAAGCUUGGAGACACCUAAUCGUCUUCCUAAAUCAAGUUCAAAAUGAAUUGCAAACGCAUAUCAACUGCUAAAUUGGAGGAGGAUUCAGUAUUCCUUUCUUGAUCAUGCAUACCCACAAUGUAGCCGUUUCAAGCCAAAAGAUAAGGACAUCAAUGUUGUCCACAACUUCAUCGAAUGCUUAUGGUUUAGAUCAGAGUUUGAAAAGUUGUCGAUUAGGAUUGAAAUCUUGAUUCGAAUCGGAAAUCGUUUAGAGUGAUCUGGAUCUCAAAUCGAAAUAUAUCGGAAUUCUUAAG